GCCGGGCGCGGUGGCGCACGCCUGUAGUCCCAGCUACUCGGGAGGCUGAGACAGGAGGAUCGCUUGAGUCCAGGAGUUCUGGGCUGUAGUGCGCUAUGCCGAUCGGGUGUCCGCACUAAGUUCGGCAUCAAUAUGGUGACCUCCCGGGAGCGGGGGACCACCAGGUUGCCUAAGGAGGGGUGAACCGGCCCAGGUCGGAAACAAUAAUACAUCAGGAGUCUGUGUUGAGGGGCUAACAGUAGAGAUAGGCAGGAAUAUUCUCUCCUACAACCCCUUGGGGCCAACAGCUGGUGUUUAU
rnacentral:SRP_RNA from 1 species